UCUCUGGAGGCAACGUAACCAGCACGGUCCACCAUGGGGUUCUGUUGCUGUUGCGGAAAAAGCACUUUACAGCACAUUUUGGUACCGAAGUUAUUGAGGAUAUCUACUUUCAUACAGUGUGUUUGAGGAGGGAAAGAAUCAUUAAGGAAGAAGAUCAGGCCAGUGGGAUGAUCCAGCAGCUGUUGAGUGAGGAAUGUGCUGGCACUUUCUCAGGACUAAAGAGUGGUAGUGCAUGAAUCCAGCGCCUGCUGCUCUUUGAGCUAGUGCCUGGACCAAUAAACCUCCUGUUACAAUGA